GAAACGGAGAGGAAGCGUGUGGCUGAUGCAGGCAUGUAGACGCUGCAUGUAGCUACCCCCCGUAUCGGCAAAUAAGCCAGCAAAGCUACGAGAUGCCCAGUAAUUUUUUUCUUUAGUCUGACAAGCAAGCAACAGCCAGCAACAGCCAGUCUGAGCUAUCGGAGGCUAUCUGAGGUGUUUGACGUGCUCAGUGUAAUGGAGUGUAACGGAGCCUUACAAACUGCCUGGACUUCUGCUUCUGCUUAAGCUCGUGCCACAGCCUGAUUACAGCCUGACAGCCUGAUUAUUCAAGGUAA